GUCGAGCAAUUUAACAAUGGCUUGUAACCCAUGUGCGGGCUUUAAGGCGGAGGCGGUUGGAGGUUGGUUCACCAUAUCUUUUUGAAACUCUUAAGAGGACUAUAUGCUUGCCCAUUCCAAGAAUGGAGUUGGGCCUCGCAUUUUGAACUAAAAUCAAAUUGCAAAGCCUUGAGAUUGGAGAAAACCGCGUGAGGUUGGCUUUAUAGAGCACCAUCACAUCCUGCUCUUGUCGAUGGACAGAUAACAUUCUUAAGAGACCAAUAAGAGCAUGGUACAAAAUUCAAAACCAAAAAACUUUUCUUUU
rnacentral:SRP_RNA from 1 species